rnacentral:misc_RNA from 1 species
AAGUCGUAACAAGGUCUCCGUUGGUGAACCAGCGGAGGGAUCAUUACAGAGUUGCAAAACUCCCAACCAUUGUGAACCUACCGCGACAUGCUACAGCGGGAGGGUAACCGCCCGCUGCUGUGUGCAAACUCUUGCUACAGUGUAUCUCUGAGUAGCUUAUUUAAUAAGUCAAAACUUUCAACAACGGAUCUCUUGGUUCUG